UUUUAUUUCACUGGAGGGGACUGUCGAUGCAAACAUGACAUCCCGAACCCCGACCAAAUGGAACAAGCACCUUACUGGGCAAUGGUAACCUCAACCUCAACACCAGGCUCGAUGUGGAUGGAAGUAAUUUGCUUGACAAUCUCGGAAGGAGAGUGGAGGUCGAUGAGACGCUUGUGGAUACGCAUCUCAUAGGUUUCCCAGGUCUUGGAACCUUCACCGUUAGGAGUCUUACGGGUAGUGAUUUUCAAGAUCUUGGUGGGAAGACGAACAGGACCCUUAACACGCAAUUGCUUGUCCUUGGCACGGUUGACCAAGUCAGAGCAAACCUUCUCCAAGUUACGAACGUUACGAGAAGUAAGGGUAAUGCGAAUGCGGUGAACAGUAGAGGGAAUUUGUUGUUCCUUUUGAUCUUUGGCGACUUGACUCAUUUUGUAGACAGCGGUGACCACGAUGGGGUUUAGUGAAAGAAGAAGUUGUUGAAGUAGAUUUUGUGUUGCUAAUAAAAAGUGACUGUUCCAAACAUAUACCCUACCCUAAUUGUUACAUUGAUGAGACGAGGCAAUCGAAUCGUACAUACCGGGGUCAAAAGAAGCGUUCAGAUGUUGAUCGCAACUUAAAAUAAGAGAAUUAAAAGGAAGUUGCUUGAGAGAAUUAGUUGAAAAUUGAAUCGAAGAAAUUUAUGGAUUUAAGUCCUAACAUUGAGCAAGUAACAAAUUGCCGGUAACAACGAAAAUUCGUUCACAGGGAACUAAAAAAAAACAAGCAAAAGUUGGUCCCAAGGAGCCAUUAAAGAAUCCAAUCAUUAAAAUAAGGUAAAAACCUUAUAAGUUUUCAAAACAAAUUUUUUAAGUCAUUCUUACUUAACUCUCAUUCGAGAGAGAACCCUACCCUAAUGAGCCCAAACAGUCACACUCAUUAUAGAAGCUUUUGAGCAUCCAAAUUUUUUAUCAUCCUUCGUUACCUACACAAUUUUAGGAACUUGGAAUAAUUAG